AUACGGAGGGUGCAAGCGUUACUCGGAAUCACUGGGCGUAAAGCGCGCGCAGGCGGCUUGAUAAGUUGGAUGUGAAAGCCCACGGCUCAACCGUAGAACUGCAUCCAAAACUGUCAAGCUAGAGUCUGGGAGGGGAAGAUGGAAUUAGUUGUGUAGGGGUAAAAUCCGUAGAGAUAACUAGGAAUACCAAAAGCGAAGGCGAUCCUCUGGAACAGUACUGACGCUGAGGCGCGAAAGCGUGGGGAGCAAACAGGAUUAGAAACCCCGGUAGUCC
rnacentral:rRNA from 1 species